UGUGAAUACCUCUCACCCAACCCUGCCUCUGUAACUGAACUUGUAUACUCCUUGCCCCUACCCUCCAGCACUGUAACUGAACUUACUCUGCAGCACCCCCACCCCCCAAAAAAACUACCCAAAUCUAUAACACUGCCCUUUGCUAAUGCCCUUUUCAGCCUUAGCCCACCUGCACCCAGGCGAAUAAACAGCCAUGUUGCUCACACAAAGCCUGUUUGGAAGGUCGCUUCAUUCAAAGCGCGUGUUUUUUCAACAUUUGGUGCUGAAACCCGGCACAGGGGAACUCCUACAGAAGACCAAACCCCCGACCCUGUUCUUGUGCUCCUCCAUGAAGAGAUCUACCUACUGACCUGGGGUCAUCAGACCAGCCCACAGACACACACCACUGGCUAUUUUGACAAACCGCAGCCAUACCACCUGCUCACAAAGACUUCAAAGCGCCCAGACUGCAGCGCGUCCAGCCGCCCCUCCUGGACCUUGCUUCAAGUGUCAGAAACCUGGCCACUGGGCCAAGAAAUGCCCGCAGCCCAGGAUUUCUCCUAAGCCCUGCCCCGUUUGUGCAGGGCCCCCACAGAAAGUCGACAAUCCAACUCAGGUUACUGCUCCCAGAGCUCCUGAAUCUCCAAUCCUCAGCUUGACAGCUAAAGACUAAUGCUGCCCGAGCAUCUCGGAAGCCCCCUGGACCAUCAUGGAUGCCAAACUUCGGGUAACUCUUAUGGUGGAGGGUGAGUCCAUCCCCUUCUUAAUCAGCACGGAGGCACCCACCCCACGCUGCCUUCUUUUCAAGGACCUGUCUCCUUGGCUUCCAUAACUGUUGUGGGAAUUGACAGCAAGGCCUCCAGGCUUCUCACAACUCCCCAAGUCUAGUGUCAAUUAGGCCAGCACUCCUUUCCACGUUCUUUCCUAAUCAUCCCCAUUUUUCCAGUUCCCCUGUUAGGCCAAAAUAUUCUAGCAAAAUUGUCUGCCUCCUUAACUUUUCCUGGGCUACAGCCACACCUCAUUGCCACCCUCUUCCUCAAACCAGUACCUCCCUCAAUAGCUCCCCUUAUGUCCCCCUGCCUUAACCCUAGGGUGUAAAACACCGCCUUCCCAUCCUUGCUAUAAGUCAUUCACCCCUCAUCAUCCCCUUAAAACCUAACCACCCUUACCCUGCCCAGCCCCAGUACCCCAUCCCACAACAGGCUUUAAAAGGUGUAAAGGUGUUAUCACCCAUCUAUUGCAACACGGCCUUUUAAUUCACCCUCCUGAUCUUCGGCAACUAUACUCCAAGGGGCAUCAUGUAUCCCCUUCCAAAGCCCAAAUUUCUUCCUCAUCUAUUAUAAUCUUUCCCCGGCAUACACGUGCUCUCCCUGCCAACCGUAUCCAGUUAGUUUCCCAAACCCCAACCCCAUCCACCAAACAACAACUUGUCUCCUUCCUGGGUGUGGUUGCUACUUUCACCCCUGGAUACCAGGUUUUGCUAUUUUAACUAAGCCAUUGUAUAAACUCACUAAAGAAAACUUAUCCAACCCUAUUAAUCCUAAAUCCUUUCCUCACUCCUCCUUUCCCUCCUUAAAAACAGCUCUAAAAACUGCUCCCUCCCUAGCUCUCCCCAACUUGUCUCAACACUGUUUCAUUAUAUACUGCUAAAAUCCAGGGUUGUGCGGUCGGGAUUCUCACAUAGGAGCCAGGCCAUUGGCCUGUAG
rnacentral:lncRNA from 1 species